CUGAGGCAUGCACUCUCGGCCUAAAUGCUGCAGAACGAUUUUCUAAAAGAAGAACGAUCCUUUCUCUGACAUUAAAGUGCAUUUCCAUGUGACUUGGUAGGAGAUGACUACUGCCUGGUUUGCUCUUGCUGGAAAAUCCUUCUUCUCUGUAACACAGGCUGCACUUGGGUUAUGUGAUUGAAGACUUAUCUCUCUGAACACCGAGGAGAACAGAGCAACAAUAGGAAGUGGGGAAACUCCAGUAACGUACCCAGGGAAAAGGAGACUCUGCCCAACGCCUCCCAGAAAGUGACCUGUCCGUGGAUGGUGUGACAUUCAUCAUCAGUCAGUGGGAGAGGCCCACUGAACUGUGUGACUUACUGCCUAGAGGGGUAUGGGACUCACAGGAUGAGAGCACCUUUGGGAUUGCACAUGACUUACUGGAGUAUGUGUGGAGAAGGAAAUCAAAGACAGGGAAUGAGGGAGAUAAAGGUGGUUUUGUGAGUCAGAAGUAUGGAAAAAUAAAAGGAUAAGGGGUUAAAAUGGUCUGGCUGGU